rnacentral:rRNA from 1 species
GACGAACGCUGGCGGCGUGCCUAAUACAUGCAAGUCGAGCGAGACUCUUCGGAGUCUAGCGGCGGACGGGUGAGUAACACGUGGGCAACCUGCCUGUAAGACUGGGAUAACACCGGGAAACCGGUGCUAAUACCGGAUAAUCCUUUUCCUCUCAUGAGGAAAAGCUGAAAGUCGGUUUCGGCUGACACUUACAGAUGGGCCCGCGGCGCAUUAGCUAGUUGGUGAGGUAACGGCUCACCAAGGCGACGAUGCGUAGCCGACCGGAGAGGGUGGUCGGCCACACUGGGACUGAGACACGGCCCAGACUCCGACGGGAGGCAGCAGUAGGGAAUCUUCCACAAUGGACGAAAGUCUGAUGGAGCAACGCCGCGUGAGCGAUGAAGGCCUUCGGGUCGUAAAGCUCUGUUGUUAGGGAAGAACAAGUACCGGAGUAACUGCCGGUACCUUGACGGUACCUAACCAGAAAGCCACGGCUAACUACGUGCCAGCCGCCGCCGUAAGAC